rnacentral:lncRNA from 1 species
AUUGGAGAUAAACUACCACUGCUUCUCAAUCCCAGAACAUUUGUAUUUUGUGUUCCUUGCUGAUGGAUAGAUACUCUUGCUGGGUACAAAAGGUUUCCAACAUUCUCCUUGCCUUCAAGAACAUCUCCACCCCCCACCCCCACCCCCACCCCACCUGUUACCAUAGGAGAUUUCAUCCAGCUCCAAGAAAGGAUGCUGCCCACAAACGAGGCUCACAGACUCCCCAGUCCUGGGGUCUCCCCUGCAACCCUGUUUCUGUGCUCACUUGGGUGUGAGUGGAUGCUGAGGUGGGAGUCGCCAAAUGCCCUUCAGUUUGCUUAUGAAGAGAUUAAAUGUCUGCACAGUUUUCCAGGCCAAAUCACAGAGUCACCCUGACUCUGCCUUUUUUCUCCUUUGCCUUGGCAAUCUACCUCUCGUGCUACCAUCUUUAACCCUCACAGUCCUUACCCGGCUCAUUGUCACUUUGGUCCUCCUUAGCCUCCCUCAUGUGUGCCACCACCACCUUUGGCUGCCGAGAGUCUUUCAUAUAUAAAGAGGUGCGACAAGCACUGGGCCAACGCUCAGCAUUGCCAAAACAAACUAACAAAAGAUGAGCAUAUAGUUACAGGUCAAAUCUGCCACGUACGCCCUUCCCUGGCUUUCCCGUGCCAUGGAAUAGCCAUACCUGUCCAGCUAG